rnacentral:tRNA from 1 species
GGCUUAAUUUUUGUUUAAGUCCCGCUAAUGGUUAAGGUACUCGGCUCAUAACCGAGGAUAUGCGGGUAUGUCCUUGCGGACACGCUCCGCGAACAAAUCCCGCCACUGCCA